rnacentral:misc_RNA from 1 species
GAAAUGCGAUAAGUAAUGUGAAUUGCAGAAUUCAGUGAAUCAUCGAAUCUUUGAACGCACCUUGCGCUCCUUGGUAUUCCUUGGAGCAUGCCUGUUUGAGUAUCAUGAAAUCUUCAAAGUAAAUCUUUUGUUAACUCAAUUGGUUUCUACUUUGGUAUUGGAGGUCUUUGCAGCUUCACACCUGCUCCUCUUUGUUCAUUAGCUGGAUCUCAGUGUUAUGCUUGGUUCCACUCGGCGUGAUAAGUUAUCUAUCGCUGAGGACACUGUAAUAGGUGGCCAAGGUAAAUGCAGAUGAACCGCUUCUAAUAGUCCAUUGACUUGGACAAUACUUUUAUGAUCUGAUCUCAAAUCAGGUAGGACUACCCGCUGAACUUAAGC